rnacentral:rRNA from 1 species
CACGCAGGCGGUUUGUUAAGUCAGAUGUGAAAUCCCCGCGCUUAACGUGGGAACUGCAUUUGAAACUGGCAAGCUAGAGUCUUGUAGAGGGGGUAGAAUUCCAGGUGUAGCGGUGAAAUGCGUAGAGAUCUGGAGGAAUACCGGUGGCGAAGGCGGCCCCCUGGACAAAGACUGACGCUCAGGUGCGAAAGCGUGGGGAGCAAACA